GUGAGUGAGUGUCAGUGAGAGUGUCAGUAAGUGUGAGAGAAUGUCAGUGAGUGUGAGAGAGUGUCAGUGAGUGUGAAUGAGUGUCAGUGAGUGAGUGUGAGCCGGCAGCAUACUGACAGCUCUCAGUCAGGGGAUCAUUCGUUUCAUAUUUCCCCAGUGAAGAGAAUUUGGAGAUAAUUUGGAGUUUGGACAAUCUCGUUCUGAAUCAGCGUUCGAGGCUGCGUGUGGAGUGGAGGAUGGGAGUUAAAGUGCUGAAGUGUUUCCCCUGGUAUGGCAGACGGAAGGAACGCAGCAAACUGGCUAAAAGUCAGAGUCUCGAGGGCCCCAUAGCCCCAACGGAGGUGAUCAGACGGAGCAAGGGGAGCUGCGAAGGUCAGAAAAACUGCGCCUACUACAGUGAAAAAGCCCGGCUGUCAUUCAGACAUGAGCUAGAUUCUGCCAACUCUGUCAUCAACUCCACCAACUGACCCUCCGCUCUCCAUCUCUGAGCUACAACAUCCUGCAGUCUCUCAGGGCAAAUGCUAGCCCACCCAGAUCACCAUGGGAGUAC